AUAAGUGGGAGUUUGCUUGUAAUAGUUUGCGGGUGGCGGGGGUGAAUAAUAAGAUGGUGAUUAUUCAUAGGCAAAUUGUAAGUAUUAGGCGAUUGCUCGUAGUAUUUUGGUGGAGGUGGAGGAGAUUUAUAGGAAGGUGUAGAUUCUUUAUAGUAUGGUGGAGGUGGAGAUUGGUAUGAAUAUAGUGAUUGGUCAUAGUAUUUUGNNNNNNNNNNNNNNNNNNNNNNNNNNNNNNNNNNNNNNNNNNNNNNNNNNNNNNNNNNNNNNNNNNNNNNNNNNNNNNNNNNNNNNNNNNNNNNNNNNNNNNNNNNNNNNNNUUUGGGGGGGGGGGGUGGAGGUGACUUGUAAUAAGGUGACUGCUCAUAGUAUUUUUGAGGAGGUGAAGGUGACUUGUAAUACAAAGGUGAUUUUUCAUAAUAAGCUAGUGGUGGUGGAGACUUGUAGUAAAUUGGGGACUCGUAAUAUUUUGGUGGAUGUGGUGACUUGUAGUAUUUAGAGAGAGUAGGCGAUUUGUAAUAUUUUACUGGGGAUGGUAACUUGUAAUACUUUGUAGGUAAUGGUGACUUGUAGUUUUUGAUGGAACUGGUUACUUGUAGUAUUUUGCAGGAACUGACGACUUGUAAUACUUCUUUGAAGAAGCUGGUGACUUGUAGUAUUUAGCGGAAGCUGGCGAGUUGUAGUAUUUUGCGGGAACCGGAGACUUAUAGUAUUUUGGGGGAGCCAGCGCACUGUAGCAUUUUGCGGGAGCUUGCUCCUUGUAGUAUUUUGCAGGAGAUGACGAAUUGUAGUAGUUCUUUGAAGGAGCUGGCGACUUGUAGUAUUUUGCGGUAGUUGGGGACUUGUAGUAUUUAGCGGGAGCUGGAAACUUGUAGUAGUUCUCUGAAGGAGCUGGUGAUUUGUAGUAUUUAGCGGGAGCAGGCGAUCUGUAGUAUUUUGUGGGAGCUGGCGACCUGUUGUAUUUAGUAGGAGCUGGCAACUUAUAGUAUUUUGCGGGAGCUGGCGCCUUGUAGUAUUUUCCUGAAGCUGGUGACUUGUAGUUCAGGGAACUAACGCUUGUAAUAUUUUACGGGAACUAGUGACUUGUAGUAGUGUAUUGCAGAAGCAGGUGACUUGUAGUAAGGAGUAGGUACAUGAUACUUGGGUGAAGAUGGUGACUUGUAAAACGUAAGAAAUGUAAGAAGAUGAGGUAGAAACAUACCCAUAAGAGGAAUCAACAAAAACAAUGUUGGCUACAAAGCAAAUUGCCAAAGCAGCAGCAAGAAGAGGCCAUUGCCCUAAAUUCCCAAAGCUUCUCAUUUUGCAGCUAUAUCGGGACAAGAGAAGGAUAGAACUAAGACUUGUGUUGCAUAGUUGAGUAAGGAACUCUAGUUUUAUACUGCAGGGAGACAUCUUUCUUUAACAUUUAUAUAUUUAGAAUUAAGACUUGUGUUGCAUAGCUGAAACACGAAAAAUUCCAGUAUAAUAAAAAUUGGUGCACAUGUGUAUAAACUUCCAACAUAUUCUGCUGGAACUCCACCACAAGGAAAGUUCGGGCAUAAUAUAAUAGAAAUUAGAGGUCAUGAGUAUGAACUCUCAGCAUAUUAUGUUGGACCAGUAUAUUAUGCUAGAAUAUUUUCUGGAUUCUGAUUAGUAUUCUCGUUCAAAUUUAUCUUUACAUGAAAUAUGACUAAAUUUGGAUUAUUUUUAAAACUGUGACUACUUUUCAAUUGGAAAAUUUCUGUUCUUAUACCAUGUAGGAAACUAUAUUACCAAAUAUGUUCAUAGUUUGCGACCCUUCAUGCUAAUAGUAUUUCUACAAAAUAUAGACAAUGCAUUAAAUAAGUAAUCAUUGUAGCUGUAGGAUUCCUUAUUUAGGCGCUCUAAAAUUUGGGAAUUAAAUAUUCUUCAAGAUUUUCCACAAAGCAGAUCACGCACAUUCCAUAAUUACGGCUUCACUCUGAUCUUCCACAAUACAGAACAAGAUUUUCCAUACUCUGUUUUUGUGAUACACUCUCUUUUCAGAAUUCUCUCUACAUCUCUCUCUAUCUCUUAAUCCCAAAUUUCAGUAAUACAAAGCAAAUGAAAAAAGAGUAGCAAUUCCACCAUUGAAUGCCAUUAAAAAACUUAAAAAUUUGAAUUCAAAUUUGGGUUUACAAAAAUUAUUAUUUGUUUGGAUUGGUGCCGUUGAAAAUAAUCAGGAAUAUGAUUUGAAGUUUAUAUCUCAAUUUUGAGGGAUUUUGGUGAAGAUUAGACUUGGUUUUGACUGAAUUUUAGAUUGAAACUCGAAGAAGAAGAAGAAGAAUACAUGACAUACAUUAUAUUGCAGAGAUUGAAAUUAGAGCUGAAGCUUUUGUGUUGUAACUCGAAAACUUCAGCUCUAGAGCUGAAAUUUUUGGAGGAGAAGGGAAGGAGAAAGGAAAGCUGAAGUUUAUUAAAAAGUGGGUACGGGUACAAAAAAAAGAUAAAGCAAUUACAAGUUAAAAAUGGACGCCCCGUGCAAUUUUUACUGAAUUUUGAGGGAAGGUAACCUUUCAUCAGGAAAAAAUAGUUAUGUCUAAACUUUUGCAAGGUCUUCAUAAUUACAGCCUAUUUUUUUCUUCAAGUUCUGUUCUUUUAAUUACUCUAUUCCCGGUUGAUAAUAAUAGUGCCCUUUGCAUUUCAUGGGGGUGUGAAAACUACAAGUGUUAGAAAAUAACAAUUUACAAACAACUAUAUCAAAAGUUUUCUCUUUUAUUGACGAAUCAUACUAUUGUAAGUUGUUUGUUAAUUUAUUAACCAAUUGAAAGCACAUCGUGCUGGAAUUGAAUUAUGUAAUUGUAAUUAUUUUUGUAAGGCUAAGUGACCAUUUCUGAACUAUCUAACAUUUGAUUGUAUCUCAAACAAGAAGUUUAGUAAUAUAUAUUAAUAUUAGUCUUUAACAAACUAGAUGGUUUCUUCCUAUCGAAGUCAAGUUGGUUAGACUUACUCAGGUACAUGUACAAGUGGAAGGUACCAAAUAUAUCAAAGGCGGAUCUAAAAUUUCUAAAACAUAGUGCACCACAAAAGAAAGGAGCAAAAAUAAGUAUUAAGUGGAAUUGAUCCUUAUUCUUUGGGUAAGUAACUCAUUAUUCGACCAAAUACAUUAUACAUUCUUUUGGAGUAUGAGGGCCAGCAGAUAAUAUAAGACCAAUUGUAGAAAAUACAUACUUAAAAUAUCGAGUUUGACAAAGAGACCAUAGGUUUAUGUGCCCUAUAAUCUGAGCUAUAAAUAUGUCCCUUAGAUAUACAGCAAAAUAGUCAAGAUAUGUGCAAACAGACUCGUACCAAUUCGUCAUUAAAAAGGAGAAAAUUUUAAAUUAGUAGCAUGAAGAAAGUGUUGCUCGACUCAUUUACAUCUCCAUAAGUACAUCACACUUUGUUUCAAAGAUAAUUCUUGUUUUCUUUUGAUGCUUGCAUUGUUAGGACAUUGUAGUUGAUUAUAUAUCAUGGUAUUAUACAAAGUUAUUGUAACUAAAAAAUUGUCAUAAUUAAAAAGAUUCAAGGGCUUACACGCCAUGUCUCAAAAUUUAUAUCUCAGCUUGUGUCCCCGUCUUUUUUCAAGGGCUUACACGCCAUUAUAUCUCGGCUUGUGUCCCCGUCUUUUAAUACACUAUGUCAAAUAUUCAAAUUUUAGAAGUGUGCCAUCUUAGCCUUUCAAUUAUUUUCUUACAUCUUUAGAAACUGUUAAAACAAAUUAAUAUAUUCAUAAUUUAGCAAUUCUUUAGUGGAUAGGCUAUAAAUCAUUUUAGGGGAAAAUAACUCUCAAGAAUAAUUUCAACUAAGUUUGAAUAUAUGUCCUGAACUAUAUGCUUACGGACCAACGAAAGAAUUCAGGCGAUUAAAGCACGCAUUAUGAGACGAAGAAGAUGACACAAUUAAGAAAUGUUGAAUGCACAAAAUCUCGAUAUAAUGAGAAGAAUUGAUGGAGAUCUUGAGGAUCUUUCAUAAAUCCCAAAUAAAUACAGAAUACAAAUUAAUAAAAUAGAACACUGAAGACACAAUAAGCAAAAGCCGAUCAUUUCGAGAAGCAUACAUCAAAUUUUGGCGGAGGAAAUGGAGCUGCUAAUGAUAAGAGGACAAAAAGGAAUUAAAAGUCAUGGAAAUAGCGGAAAAUGAUUGAAUAGUUAAUAUCAGUAAUACGUUGGUGGAGGAGAUGCGGAUGGGGGUGGAGGUGAAGCAUAGGUAGCGGAUUGCUCGUACUUUUCAGGUGGUGGAGGUGAGGCAUAGGUGGGAGUUUGCUUGUAAUAGUUCGUUGGUGGUGGAGGUGAGUAAUAAGAUGGUGAUUUUUCGUAGCUAUAGUUCGCUGGUGGUGGAGGUGAGUAAUAAGAUGGUGAUUUUUCAUAGGUCUUUGGCAGAGAUGGCAAGUCGUAAGUUAUAGGUGAUUGCUCGUAGUAUUUUGGUAGCGGUGGAGGAGAUUUAUAGGAAGGUGUAGAUUCUUUAUAGUACGGUGGAGGUGGAGAUUUGUAAGAAGAUGGCGAUUGCUCGUAGUAUUUUGGUGAGGGUGGAGGAGAUUUAUAGGAAGGUGUAGAUGCUUCAUAGUACGGUAGAGGUGGAGAUUUGUAAGAAGAUGGUGAUUGCUCAUAGUAUUUUUGAGGAGGUGGAGGUGACUUGUAAUACGAAGGUGAUUUUUCAUAAUAAGCUAGUGGUGGUGGAGACUUGUAGUAUUUUGCGGGAGCUCGCGACUUGUAGUAUUUAGCGGGAGCUGGCGACUCGUAGUAUUUUUUGAGAGACGGCGCCUUGUAGUAUUUUGCGGGAGCUGGCGACUUGUAGUAGCUCUUUGAAGGAGCAGGCGAUGCGGGAGCUGGCGACUUGUAGUAUUUUGCGGGAGCUGGCGACUUGUAGUAUUUAGAGGGAGUUGGCGACUUGUAGUAUUUAGCGGGAGCUGGCGACUUGUAGUAUUUUGCGGGAGAUGGCGACUUGUAAUAUUUUGCGGGAGCUGGCGACUUGUAGUAGCUCUUUGAAGGAGCAGGCGACUUGUAGUAUUUAGGAGUAGUUUGCGACUUGUAGUAUUCAGCGGGAGCUGGCAGCUUGUAGUAGUCCUUUGAAGGAGCUAGUGAUUUGUAGUAUUUAGCGGGAGCUGGCGAUAUGUAGUAUUUUGUGGGAACUGGCGACUUGUAGUAUUUAGUAGGAGCUGGUGACUUGUAUUAUUUUGCAGGAGGCGCCUUGUAGUAUCUUACUGAAGCUGGUGACUUUUAGUAUUUUACGAGGAGCCGGCGACUUAUAAUAUUUUGCUUGAGCUGGUGACUUGUCGUAUUUUACGGGAACUGGCGACUUGUAAUAUUUUACGGGAGCUGGUGACUUGUAAUAAUGCUUUGCGGGAGCAGGUGACUUGUAGUAAGGAGUAGGUACAUGAUACUUGGGUGAAGAUGGUGAUUUGUAAAACUUCUUAGAAAUGUAAGAAGGUGAGGGAGAAGUAUACCCAUACGAGUAAUCAGCAAAAACAGUGUCGGCUACAAAGCAAAUUGCCAAAGCAGCAGCAAGAAGAGGCCAUUGCCCUAAAUUCCCAAAGCUUCUCAUUUUGCAGCUAUAUUGGGACAAGAGAAGGAUAGAACUAAGACUUGUGUUGCAUAGUUGAGUAAGGAACUCUAGUUUUAUACUGCAGGGAGACAUCUUUCUUUAACAUUUAUAUAACUGCAUCAUGGUUAACCACUAAGAUGAUAGCAAAGUCCAAAUAAAGACAUGGUCACUACUUAGUGGCAAGCAUUCUCCUGGUGAUAGAAAAAAAAAAGAAUAUUAAAUUGAAAAUGAAAUAAGGUUGCCACGACUGGUAUACAAUUGGUGAAGUUAAGGAAUUGACUAUUUGUUAUGGGUGUGGAGAGGAGGUUUCUUUCUUGUUUUCACAAUAUUUUCUUCUUCAAGUCCUUUUCUUUUACUCAAUUCUGGUUGAUAGUAAUAGUCUCUUUUGUUUCACGGGGUGUAAUUGUAAUUAUUCCUGUAAGGCUAAGUAACCAUUUCUGAUGUAUCUAACAUUUGAUUGCAUCUCAAACAAGAAGUUUAGUAAUAUUAAUAUUAGUCUCCAACAAACUAGAUGGUUUCUUCCUACCUAAGCAAAGUUGGUUAGAGUUACUCGCUACGUGUUCAGAUGGGAGGUGCCAAAUAUACCCAUUGGCGGAACCACCCCUUAUGGUGAGGGAGGCGUGGCACCCGCUAGGUUGAUAAAAAUUUAUAUACCUAUGCUGAAAUUUUUUUAAACUAAAUUAAAUAUAUGAUCCUACCACCCGAAAUCGCAAACUAAACAUAUAUGACAUUGUUGGGAGGCCUAUUUGGAAGAUUUUCUGUGUAAGACCCAAAUUAGAAUUUAGGUUAAAUUCUAUUUGGCUCCCGUUUUGUGUUUUAUAUUUGGAAAUUUUACUUCCUAUAGCAAAGGCAUCCACCCUAUUUAUUAUAAAUCAAAAUUAUUUAAAAAUAUUAUUUUUUAUAGCUACCUUUUAUAGUUUAUAGCAAAAUAAGUAUUUAUGGUAUAUACUACCAUUAAGGAAAUAUAAUUUUCUAUAGCUAUCUUUUAUAGUUUAUAGCAAAAUAAGUAUUUAUGGUAUAUACUAUCAUUAAGGCAUGAAAUAAGCUAUUUAUAUUUUUCCUCUUUCUUAGACAGCUGUAUAUACCUAUUUUUAAGGUAAUUGUCGUUACUGUGUUCAUGAAUACAUGGCGCGAAUACUCAUGCGCCUACAGUUGGACUGCCCUGAUUUUAGGGUUUUCUACUAUUGUAUUUGGGGUGUAUAAAGGAAACUGACAAACCCCCUGAUUUUAGGGUUUUCUACUAUUGUAUUUAGGGGUGUACAAAGGAAACAGACAAACCCCACUAACCCGAUAAUCUGAGUCAACCCGAGAAAAAAAAUCCGACUAUGAUUUGGUUUGAAUUGGCUUGGUGUUGGGAAAAAAAAUCAACCAUAAUUGGUUUGGUUUGAUUUUAACUAAAGAAAGUUAAACCAUAACCAAACCAACUCGACAUUACAUAUAUAGAAAACUUAGGUAUAUUUAAUAUAUAAAUAUACUUAUUAUGAUGUAAUUUAUAAAUAUUCCUUAAAAAUUUCAUAAUUUUAUCUUUUGAAUUAUUUUUUCAAGGUUGGACUUAUAACUUUUGUUCAAAUAAGUUUUAUAGCCAUUAACAUUAGUAAAUUAAAUAGUGCUAACAAAAGUUCAAACCAAAAUUAAAUCAAUAUUAAUACUGACAAAAGACAUUCAAUUCAAUACUACGAACGGGAAUGUAUUGAAUGUCUAUUUUUUGUUUUGUAAUAAUUUAGAUAAAAAUACAUAACCUAUUUUUAUUUUAUCUUUAGCGUUUCGCUAUGUAAUUAAUACUCCCUUGUUAGUCUACUUAUUUUAGCAUGACAGUACUUUUAGAUUAUAUUUAUUGUUAUUAUGGAUUUUUAACUAACAAUAUAUAUAUUACAUAAUUUUAUUGUCUUUAUUAAUGGAUUUUAGGAUAAUGCCAUGACAUCUCUCAUAUUUUGUAUUAUUUUCUUGAAAAAUAAUUUAUAUAGUUGUAUCUUACUAGGACUAAAGAAGUACUUUGAGCACAAUUUCUGUAUUUUGUUCGACGAAUAUUUUACGGGAAAAAAAUUGAAUAACCAAAAAAUCCGAGAAACCCAGAGUGAAAAACCCGAGUUUUGUUGGUUUGGUUUGGUGUUUAGAUUUAAUAACCCAACACAAUUGAUUUAGUUUGGUAAUUGCUAAAAUCCGAACCAACCCGAUCUAUGUACACCCCUAGCCGUAUUCAUGAAUACAGCAAUGCGAUACAUGUAAAUACAUGUGCGUACAGCUAGAUUGCCUUAAUUUUAGGCAUUUUUUGUUGUUGUAUUCAUGAAUACAUGUCGCGAAAACAUGUGAAUACAUAAGCGUACAGCUGGACUAUGCUGAUUUUAGGUACUUUUUAAUUUUGUAUGCAUGAAUACAUGUGCGUACAGCUGAAUUGUCCUGGUUUUUAGGCAUUUUUUGUUGUUGUAUUCAUGAAUAAUACAACAGCGUGAAUACAACAAAGACACUAUUGUAACAACUGAAUAAUAGCUAAAGGAAGUAAUUAUGUAGAUGAUAGCUAUCGGAAGUUAAUAGCCACUAAACAACAAUGGUUUCUAAACAUUCCACUUUAUAUUUCCUUUUGUCUUAUUCUUUCGCGUUUCGGUUAUCUCCCAAUUUCCUAUUUGUCUUUUUCUUAAUUUUCAUAUUUUUUUUUCCUUUAUUUUAUUAGUUUUUCUGUCACUUCAAACGAAUACACUCAAAAAAGCGGCUCCAAUUUGCGAGUUUUCUUCUUUCAAAAUCGAAAGGCUUGGGUCUCAAUGACAAUUUUAGAUUAUGAUCUAUUUUAAUAUUUUCAUUACUUCAUUUGUUCAUUAUAGAUUAAAAUCUAUUUUAAUUUUUCAUAAUUUCAUCUAUUCAUUAUCCAUACUAUAUUAAUAACACGAAAAUUCUUAGCAAAAUAUCGUUCGCCUUUUAUACCCCUUAAAAUUAGAUUUCACACUAAGCAAAAUAGUCAUUUUAUUAUUUUUCUAAUAUUUAAAAAUAGGAAUAGUCAUUUGCUAUUUGACAAAAAUAUUAGGAAUUCAAAAUCAACUAAAUUUUGUCCAUUAAAUCAUUCCCUAUUUGAACUAUGUAAUAUAAAAAAUUUAUAGAAUAAAAAAAUAACAAUAUUUAUAUUACAUAAUUUUAUUGUCUUUAUUGUUGGAUAUUUUAGGAUAAUGCCAUGACAUCUCUCAUAUUUUAUUAUUUUCUUGAAAAAUACUUUAUAUAGUUGUAUCUUACUAGGACUAAAGAAGUACUUUGAGCACAAUUUAUGUGUUUUAUUCUACGAAUAUUUUACCGGAAAAAAAUUUGAAUAACCAAAAAAUCCGAGAAACCGAGAGUGAAAACCCGAGUUUUAUUGGUUUGGUUUGGUUUUUAGAUUUAUUAACCCAACACAAUUGAUUUGGUUUGGUAAUUGUAAAAUCCGAACCAACUCGGCAUAUGUACACCCCUAGCUGUAUUCAUGAAUACAGCAAUGCGAUACAUGUGAAUACAUGUGCGUACAACUAGAUUGCCUUUGUUUUAUGAAUUAUUUGUUGUUGUAUUCAUGAAUAUAUGCCGCGAAUACAUGUGAAUACAUGCGCGUACAGCUGGACUGCGCUGAUUUUAAGUGCUUUUUAAUUUUGUAUGCAUGAAUACAUGGUGCGAAUACAUGUGCGUACAGCUGGAUUGUCCUGAAUUUUAGGCAUUUUUUGUUGUUGUAUUCAUGAAUACAACAGCGUGAAUACAACGAAGACACUAUUAUAACAACUGAAUAAUAGCUAGAGGGAGUAAUUAUGUAUAUGAUAGCUAUAGGAAGUUAAUAGCCACUAAACAAUAGUGAUUUCUAAAAAUUCCUCUUUAUAUUUCCUUUAGUCUCAUUCUUUCGCUUUUUGGUUAUCUCCCAAUUUCCUAUUUGUCUUUUUCUUAAUUUCCAAAUUUUUCUUUCCUUUAUUUUAUUAGUUUUUUGUCACUUCAAGCGAAUACACUCAAAAAAGCGGCUCCAAUUUGCGAGCUGUCACGACCCAAACUCGUUCGUGAUGGCACCCGGCCGCGAGGAUAGGCAAGCUUGACCAAACCACAAUUAAGAACGGCAUCCCAGCCCAAAGAGAAAUAGUUUAGGAAUAACCAGCGAAAUUCAAUAACAAACUCUCAACCCAAGGGGUAAUUCAUACCCAAGAAAAACAUAGCUGAAUAAUAAUCCUCCCUAAAACCGAGGAGUCACGAGUCCAGAGCCUCUAACAAAACAGAAUGCAAGUCUGAAUGGAAAUGAUACAGAGUCUGAUAAAAUAGCAAAAGAACAUGACUGAUAGAGACAGACUAAGUGGUCCUGCGGAUGCUGGGCAGCUACCUCAAUACCCUUAAUAGCUCGAAAAUCAACAGCAGCAGAACUAAGUCUCUGGAGCACCCGAAUCUGCACACAAGGUGCAGGGAGUAUGGGGUGAGUCUACAACCCCAACGAGUAAUAAGCAUGUAUAAAAACCCGAAAGCAGGAUAUCCACAAUAAAGCACAGAGUAAAGCUAGUUAAACAGUUCUAUACAGUACAAGCCUCAGAUAAAUCCAUAUAAAGCAAUAGUAAAUAAAUGCAUGAGAUGCAAUGCAAUGCAUGACCUCUACGGAACGUGCGGUCGGACUAAGCCAUAGUCCCCAAUCAUAAUCGACCGCGCACUCGUACUAGAGUAUGUGUCGCGCCUCAAUACAGUGCCACAAUGUGAUAUACCGGGGUUUUGAACCCUCGGGGCAUCAGCUACACCAAUUACUCACCUCAAGCCGACCGCAAACUAGCUCGUAAUGCCUUUACCUCGAGAAUCAACCUCCGCGGAUGCCAAAUCUGCUCAAAACAAUAGGAAUACGUCAAAAUAGACUAAUGGAACAUAACCCAAUUGAAAUAUCUCGAAAUACACCCAAAACACGAAGUUGGCAAAACCCGAGCCCUGAGCCCACUUCUCGAAAAAUUACGAAAUUCACAUCACCGGAGUUCUCGUCUUGCCACAAGUCCGUACAUAUCAAAUUUACAAGAAUCGGAGUCCUUUUGACCCUUCAAAUUAACACUUUAAGCUCAUUUGGAAUUCAAGCCCUAACUACCUUUUUUAACUUCAAAAACUUUGAAUUCUUAGUGUUUAAUCCAUGUUUUUACACUAUAAUGACAUUCAAAUCAACACUUUAAGGUUCACCUGUGUUUCAAGCCCUAACCACCAUUUUUGACACUAAAGACCUUGAUUUCUAAGUAUUUAAUCCAUGAUUUAGCACCAUAAUCACAUAUUCGAGGUCUAAGAGAUCAUACUUGAAGAAUCCCAUCGAAAAUCUCUCCAAACCUCUCUUAUUCGCCUCAGCCCGAAGUUCUAUUGUUCUUCUCCUUUUCAAAAUAUUAAACCCUCUGAUUUCUUCAUAUUUUCGGAAUCCUCGUCGUGCCACGAGUCCAUAUAUAUCAAAUUUACAAGAAUUGGAGUCCAUUUGACCUCUCAAAUCAAUACUUUAAGGUUCACUUGGGUUUCAAGCCCUAACCACCAUUUUGACAUUAAAGACCUUGAUUUCUAAGUGUUUCAUCAAUGAUUUAGCACCAUAAUCACAUAUUCGAGGUCUAAGAGAUCAUACCUGAAGAAUCCCCUCGAAAAACUCUCCAAACCUCUCUCAAUUGCCUCAGCCCGAAGUUCUAUUGUUCUUCUCCUUUUAAAAACUUUAAACCCUGUGAUUUCAUUAAAACUGGACGAUUUCCUCUUCCGCGGUAUUUUUCCGCUUCAACAGUCCUCGCUUCCGCGUCCAGUUGAUUGCUUCCACGGUCUGCCUAUUUCUUCAGCGGCCGCUUCUGCGGUCGAUCUACCGCUUCCGCGACUCCCGCGUAAGCGGUCCCUUUGACCGCUUGUGCGGUCUCUUGCUUCCCCCUUGACCGCUUAUGCGGCUUAUUGUCCACUUCUGUGGACACCCGCUUAAGUGGUCUCCCUGCCAUUUUCCCAAAAAUACCAGAAGCAACAACCAUUUUUCAAGCUUAACUCCAAAAAGUCCUCGUUUAACUAUCUGAUAUCACCCCGAGGCCCCCGGGGUCCAAACCAAAACACAAUUAUGACCAAAUACCUCAUUCAAACUUGCUUGAGCCAUAAAACACUAGCUUAAAAACCAUUAAUCACCAAAAUCAUCAAAUCAAAGCCUAAGAUAUACAUGAACCUCUCAAAAUCUCAUUCGAUGCCGAAACCAACCAAACGAAGCCCGAAUGACCUGAAAAUUUGGAGACAUAACCAGAAUCACCUAACUAAGCUACUGCAACUCUUGAAAUUCCAUUCCAACCUCCGGAUCAGAAUUUCGAAACCAACCAAACGAAGCCCGAAUGACUUGAAAAUUUGCAGGCAUAACCAGAAUCACCUAACGAAGCUACUGCAACUCUUGGAAUUCUAUUCCGAACCCCAGAUCAAAAUCUCACCUAUCAACUGGAAUUCGGCGAAAUUCAACUUAGCCAAUUCAAGCCUAAUUCUACACCGGGCCUCCAAAUUCAAUUCCGCCUUCUCUCCCAAGUCACAAAUCACCAUCCGAAACUAGUCGAAUAGCCGAAAAUUCGUUCCGAGCCCUCUAACUCAUUAGUCAACAUCUGGUUGACUUUGCCAACUUAAUCUUUCCUUAAAGAGAAUAUUGGUCGAAUGGCCGGAAAUCCAUUCCAAGCCCUCUAACUCAUAAGUCAAUAUCCGGUUGGUUUUGCCAACUUAAGCUUUCCAUAAAGAGACUAUUCAUCUCAUUUCUAACCAAAUUAAACCCAACAUAUUUCCAACUCACCAAAAACAUAUAUCAACACACGGGGAAGCAUAAUACGGGGAUAAUGGAGUUGAAAUAUGGAAGACGACGGGUCGGGUCGUCACAUCCACCCCAACUUAAGCAAACGCUCGUCCUCGAGCAUACCUAGAAUUGUACUAGAAGCAACCCAGUAACCACACGACAUUUCCAGUCAUAUGAUCGGGGUGAUCCCACGUCACCCUAACUCACAUAGGUACCGAUAACACAACACAGCUAAAAUUUCACAAUCCAUCUGGACCAUAAAUCGUAGAACCACACUGCACUACCCGAAAUCACACACAAGAUCAGAACCUUGCAUCCAUACUCAAAAUCAAUUCGAACCAGCUGUAAUAACCCACACCUGCAACCUCAGGUGAACUCAUACAAUAUACACCACAUUCCAACACUCGGAACAAUAGUCUCUAUUCACAACAGUUUCCCACAGUACUCAAUUACCAAUAGGAAACCUCUUAUCUAGCUAAAGUCUUAUUCCAACACUUCCGCAUAUUGCCAACGAUCACUAAAACACGCAACAAACCGUAGCAGUUCUUCAGAUCAACCGUUCAUGAAGUCACUUCCAAGUUGACUAUUACCACAAAUGAUUUUUUUUUUGGCCAAACCUCGAUGUUACCACUCUAACCAGCUGAAAUCAAAUCUGCUCAUACUUAUUAGUAACCCAAUGAUCACCUCGAAUCAAUCACACCACUUCGGGUGAUAUGGUGCCUCAAUACAGGCCUAAGCCACAAUUGCAUAAUACACGCGCUAAUAAGGAACAGUCUAUACAUACCCAAAUCAGGCAAAUGACUCAACCAGAAGAGUUAUGCCUCACGCUCAUCAAUACCUUCACAAAACCAAAUUGAGACCCAGUCUCACGUCAUAUGAAUAGAGUACCUAAAUCCUCCUCGAGAGGUCAUAACUUCACGUAGCCUCGCCACAACACGCGAUCCUAUCCCAACACCGUUACACAUGAAGCGCCUCGUGUUACCAUGCUCACAGUAGAAAGCCAUGCACAGAUCUAUGCCUGAAACCAAAUUACCCCUCACACUCACGGGGAAACAAGUAAAAUACCCUAUUCAGUCCUGAAAGGACACAACCGAUACACUAUCCGCCAAAAAAUUCUCAAUAAGGAGUUUCCUCAGAAGCCGGGAAGCAAUGAUUACAAAGCAACACAUGGAAAGCUAUUCUCAACCUCACACUGUUGCGGCGCGGGGAGUUUCCUCAGAAGCUGGGAAGCAAGGAUUACAAAGCAACACAUGGAAAGCUAUUCUCAACCUCACACUAUUGCGGCACGCAACCCGAUCCAGAUAACAUACUUGUGGCGGCGUGCCACCCGAUCCACACAAUAUCUCACAUAGGGAGGUGCACAUCGAGCCAAAUUCACAUGGAAAGCUAUUCUCAACCUCACACUAUUGCAGCGCGCAACCCGAUCCAGAUAACAUACUUGUGGCGGCGUGCCACCCGAUCCACACAAUAUCUCACAUAGGGAGGUGCACAUCGAACCAAAUUUGCUCAUAACAACAAAAUACCAACAUCGGCCGAAGAAGCUGAGUGCAUAAAGAUAUCUUAUUAGCGUUAUAAGCUACAAAAUUCCACUCCCACUAUUAUGACUCAUGAAGAAGCCGCACGACAUAGUGCCCAGAACCAGAUAGUUACUUAAAUCCACAGUCUCGCCCGGCGACAUGCCCGACUACAAGGACGUAUCUGAAAAGUCCCUCAAUACAUGAACCGAAAUCAAUGGUAAAAACCUCUAUGCUGAAACCCGUCUCGAAGGCCCAAUUAAGGAACGCAAUUCUUCCCAGAUGAUCGCUAGUCUUUGGUACACAACCAUCCAGCUGGAACAUUGUCCGAUACACCCCCGCCACGCGACCUGUGGCAUUUACCAACAUUACUCAUAGCACAAUCAUUUAGAAUAAUCUGACACUAAGACACUCACUCUACAUCCCCAUAACAUAUCCAGAAUUUAAUAUACUAAGCAAGGAAAUAUCCACUCGGCUUCCGAAUUCCCAAUAGCCGGUGACAGUACCAAUACAACACACACGAUCCUCAAUUAUUGCAUAAACUGCAUCGGAGAACUCCCAGUCUCCAACUACUCAUAGCACAUGAAUCAACGUGCUUGAUCCAAAUUUCCACAAUGCGAAAUACAGAUUACACCUCAAGUACCCCAACUAUUCCACGAGGGAUAUUUUUAAAAUCCAAUGCGUCAUCAAAUAACUCAUAUAUCCGCAGUCGAUUCCAUAAGGAAUUGUCGUAACACUAUUGAUGUAUCAUUUGUGAUAUUGCCCUCUUUCUGAAACUUAUGCUAUCGUCAAAUCACUUCCACUUAACAGUACCAAUUCCUUGAUAACCUGAAGCUACUCAUUACCUAAGACGUAGCCAAAUUCACAAUACCUUUCAGAACUGAGUCGAAAACUCGCCCACGACCAUUUCGGUAUUUUACAGCAUACCAUAUACCCAAUAUUCUCUAGGGAUAACACGAGAACUUCCAUCUCCCUUCUGCGCCACAGACAUCGUCGCACCCAACUAGUCUAGGACUUUCAAUGAUUCCCUUUAGAAGAAAAAUUUAUUAUAAACUCCAUGUUCUGCAUGCCCAUAGCAAAUAUACAUCUCCAAACCACGAUGAAACUCAACAAGAAUUCUCUCCCAAUUCCAUUUGCACAAGUUAAACUGCCUAGGACGGAAUCUCUGUAUCUGAUCCAAGCUAAGCAGACUUUCAAUACUCAGGACACUUCGCUGCCCAACGCUGGUAAGAACCCAUUACCUCAACACAUACCACGAUUGAUCAUAUCUAUACCAUACCGAUUCAGGCCCCUAACAAGUUACUCCAUUUGUCUCGAUUCCCACCUGAUUCAUUUUUCAACUAGAUAUACUCUCUUGCUGUAGCACCGCAAUAUCUCAACCAAGUAUCACUAUGCGAGACCCAACACCAGACCACACCGUCUAGGAUCCAUAGGCACUGAAUGCUUUCUCAAAUGUGCUCUAAUUACCACAUUACAAAAAAUUUUACCCGAAGAACUUUCUGCAAAUCAAAAUCGGUUACCCUUACUUUCCAAAUACUGAUACCUAGAAUCCUGUAAUCAAUAUAGAAAUACCACAAGUCUUGACAUAUGCUAAUGAAAACACUAACUUGGUCACAUACUCAGCCUCAAAACACCAGAGUGAUACCUAACGAAUUUCGAUCACAUCAAUAACUAUUCUCAAAAGUAUACCACUCUUAUACACACUCCAAUUCACUUGACUUAAUGAGUCGAACCACUUGUGCCUUAUCAUAACUCUGACACAGCGGGACGAGAUCUUAUUUCGAUACAACCAAACAACUUUUUCUUCCUUACGCCAAGCAUUCUUUAUUAUCAGCUCGAGACAUUCCCAUAUUUUCCCACAUCUGCGAAGCACCAUAUAACCAUUGGCAAAAUUCCACUUCACUCGCACCACCCUCAGCUCCCUUUCUGCAAGAAGAACUGAUUCAGUCACAUGCAUCAAAUCGGAAUUAACAGAGUACGUAAUAAUACGACCAGCGCAUCCACAACAACCUCCCCAACUUAGCUCGAAGCCAUUUACAUUACAAUGCAUAUGCUCUAUUGCUACCGUAAUAUCACGGUGAUAUUAAACUUACUCUUUCACAAGCUUGUGGAAACACGAAUCAUCAGAAAUUCUAACUUUCCCCCAAUUCUUCCAUUCAUUCACACAACCGUUAAGCUCACCCUUAAGGCGUCAAAAUUUCUUCUAAGUCCCAAAUUUCCAGAAAUUUUGGCAGAGUUUCCUUUGUAAUUGAGCAUAUCCACCUGUCAGAGAAUUGCCAAAACCAUCCUAACAACACGUCCAAACUCGAUGUAGCAUCACAAUGUAUAACAACAACCUUAAUCUCGAUACUACAUGUAUUACAUCAUCAAAAUUGAUACCUGAACAUGCGCUCCAAAACCAUCCUAACAACACGUCCAAAACUCGAUGUAGCAUCACAAUGUAUACCAACAACCUUAAUCUCGAUACUACAUGUAUUACAUCAUCAAAAUUGAUACCUGAACAUGCGCUUCACAUGUUCGAAUCAUAACAUAUAGAAAAUUGCAUCUUAAUUACACAUACGAUCUUCUAACAUACACAUAAUGAUCAUACCACUUUGGAAUAAUCUACGCGAGAUACCCACCUGCUUGCUUCAAUAUAAUAUUUCGGUACAGCAUCCACCGUCAUACUCUUCACGCAAUCACUGCGGAACGUCAGAAAAAUGCAUCUCAAUUACACAUACGAUCUUCUAACAUACACAUAUUGAUCAUACCACUUUGGAAUAAUCUGCGUGAGAUACCCACCUGCUUGCUUCAAUAUAAUAUUUCGGUACAUCAUCCAUCGUCAUACUCUUCACGUAAUCAAUUUGUCUUCCUGAGUCUGGACUCAUACAAAAACACACACACUCCCAGUUAGGAGACUCGAAAACAUUCUUCAUGCCCCCAUACCUCGGGCCACAUCUCUAUUUCACAAUGAGAAUCAAAAAUUUAAUGGUUCGUCUACCACCUAGAAGACCUUCUUCAACACUUUCAAGUCAACACACAUUACAUGGAACCAACAUACACACCACGUAGCUAUCCAGCCGCCAUCACCAUUAUUAGGGACAAUACUGAACUUAUAAGCUCAUAACACUAGCUCCCUCAAUCAACACCUUGGUGCUCAAGCCAUAGACAGAGAUUCGGCCUCAAGUCCUCCAGACUGACCCAACAUCAACUCAUAGGAAUCAUAAUUCGCCCCUCGAUAGAGGAAUCACCAACCAUCAAGGCACAUAUAAUAUUGGACGCUCACGGACGCAUACAAACGUGAGGAAGGAACUUCAAGUGUUACCCCUUCAAACUGAAUCAAGAACGCAGAAUAAGAUUUAAAAAAAGUGGAGUGUUUCCUAAUGGUUUUGUAGCCUCCUACUUAUAAGUGUGGUGCACGACACACCCAUACACAAGACUCUACUAAACCGGCUCAUGACUCGUGGGGCCUCGUAACCUAGUCUCAGAUACCAAGUUGUCACGACCCAAACCCGAUCGUGAUGGCGCCCGGCCGCGAGGCUAGGCAAGCCCGACCAAACCACAAUUAAGAACGGCAUCAAAGCCCAAAGAGAAAUAUAUUAGGAAUAACCACCGAAAUUAAAUAACAAACUCCCAACCCAAAGGGUAAUUCAAACCCAAGAAAAACACAGCUGAAUAAUAAUCCUCCCAAAAACCGAGGAGUCACGAGUCCAGAGCCUCUAACAAAACAGAAUACAAGUCUAAACGGAAAUGAUACAGAGUCUGAUAAAAUAGCAAAAGAACAUGACUGAUAGAGACAGAGUAAGUGGUCCUGCGGACAUUGGGCAGCUACCUCAAUACCCUUAAUAGCUCGAGAAAUCAACAUCAGCAGCACUAAGUCUCUGGAGCACCUGAAUCUUCACACAAGGUGCAGGGAGUAUGGGGUGAGUCUACCAACUCAGCGAGUAAUAAGCAUGUAUAAAAAUCCGAAAGCAGGAAAUCCACAAUAAAGCUUAGAGUAAAGCUAGUUAAAUAGUUCUAUACAGUACAAGUCUCAGAUAUAUCCAUAUAAAGCAACAGUAAAUAAAUGCAUGAGAUGCAAUGCAAUGCAUGACCACUGCGGAACGUGCAAUCCGAUCUAUUUGGGUACCCACGCUCACUUUGGGGGUUCAGACUCCGGAGGGGCUCCUACAGCCCAAGCGCAAUAUCAUAGUAACAUACGCUGCGCUGCACAACCCGAUCCACUAUAAGUCCAGCUACAUGCAUGCAAGCCUCACAGGCACAUAUAUCUUGCCAUUUCUAGUUCAGUUUAUUAGAAAUCAUAGGAUUAGGUGUCAAACCUCAAUAUUUACCAAAUCAUGUUAAACAGUAUUUUAGUGCAGGAUUGAUGUCAUGAAAACAUGCUAUAAUGCGUAGAAACAGUGAUAACGAUCCUCAAGAGAUCCAAAUAACCGGCGCGUAGCCUAAAUAUAUUCAAAACCUUCCAAGUAGGAGGUUUACCGCCAAUCUAUAGCCAACAACAGCGCAUAAUGACACUAGGUCGGACUAAGCGCGCAGCCCAAAUAUAUUCAUAACCAUCCAAGUAGGAGGUUUACCGGCCAAUCUAUAGCCAACAACAUCGUAUAAUGACACUAGGUCGGACUAAGCCAUAGUCCCCAAUCAUCGACCCCGCACUCACAGUAGAGUACGUAUCUCGCCUCAAUACAGCGUCACAAUGUGAUAUACAGGGUUUCAAACCCUCGGGUCAUCAUCUCCACCCAUUACUCACAUCAAGCCGGCCGCAAACUAGCUCGUAAUGCCUUUCCCUCGAGAAUCAACAUCCACGGAUGCCAAAUCUACUCAAAACCAAUAUGAAUACGUCAAAAUAGGCUAACGGAACAUAACCCAAUCGAAAUUCAUCGAGAAUCAACCUCCAUGGAUGCCAAAUCUACUCAAAACCAAUAGGAAUACGUCAAAAUAGGCUAACGGAACAUAACCCAAUCGAAAUAUCUUGAAAUACACCAAAAAAUACGAAGUUGGCAAAACCCGAGCCCCGGGCCCACUUCUCGAAAAAGUAUGAAAUUCACAUUUUCAGAAACCUUGUCUUGCCACGAGUCCAUACGUAUCAAAUUUAUAAGAAUCGGAGUCCAUUUGACCCCCUCAAAUCAAAACUUUAAGGUUCACUUGGGUUACAAGCCCUAACCACCAUUUUUGACAUUAAAGACCUUGAUUUUUAAGUGUUUAAUCCAUGAUUUAGCACCAUUAUCACAUAUUCGAGGUCUAAGAGAUCAUACCUGAAGAAUCCCCUUGAAAAUCUCUAAAAACCUCUCUUAAUCGCCUCAGCCAGAAGUUCUAUUGUUCUUCUUCUUUUCAAAAGAUUAAACCCUGUGAUUUCAUUAAAACUGUACGACUUUCGCUUCCGCGGAAUUUUUCCGCUUCAACGGUCCACGCUUCCGCGUCCAGUUGAUUGCUUCCGCGGUCUGCCCAUUUCUUCAGAGGCCGCUUCUGUGGUCGAUCUACCGCUUCCGCGACUCCCGCGUGAGCGGUCCCUUUGACCGCUUCUACGGUCUCUGGCUUCCCCCUUGGCUGAUUCUGCGGCUUAUUCUCCUCUUCUGCGGACACCGCUUAAGCGGUCUCCCUGCCUCUUCUACGAAAAUACCAGAAGCAACAACCAUUUUUCAAGCUUCACUCCAAAAAUUCCUCGUUUAACCAUCCGAUAUCACCCCGAGGCCCCCGGGGUCCAAACCAAAACACAAUUAUGACCAAAUACCUCAUUCAAACUUGCUUGAGCCAUAAAACACUAGCUUAAAAACCAUUAAUCACCAAAAUCAUCAAAUCAAAGCCUAAGAUAUACAUGAACCUCUCAAAAUCUCAUUCGAUGCCGAAACCAACCAAACGAAGCCCGAAUGACCUGAAAAUUUGGAGACAUAACCAGAAUCACCUAACGAAGCUACUGCAACUCUCAAAAUUCCAUUCCAACCUCCAAAUCAAAAUCUCACCUAUCAACCGGAAUUCACCGAAAUUCAACUUAGCCAAUUCAAUCCUUAUUCUACACCGGGCCUCCAAAUUCAAUUUCGCCUUCUCUCCUAAGUAAAAAAUCACCAUCCGAAACUAGUCGAAUAGUCAGAAAUCCAUUCCGAGCCCUCUAACUCAUAAGUCAACAUCUAGUUGGCUUUGCCAACUUAAGCUUUCAUUCAAUAGACUAUUGGUCUCAUAUAUCAACACACGGGGAAGCAUAAUAUGGGGAUAACGAGGCUGAAAUGCGGAAGACGACGGGUCGGGUCGUCACACGGGCGACUUUUAGCACUUCGGGGAAGCGGGUGACUUGUAGAAUUUUGCAAGAGCGGGCGACUUGUAUUUCACGGGAAUGGGCGACUUGUUGAAUUUCGCAGGAGCUCGCGACUUGUAGUAGUUCUUAAAAAGAGCGGGUGUCACCAUUUACCCUUUUCGAACUAUUAACACUAUGAGACCUAAAAAGUACUGUUCAUACUCCCCUUGACCAUAAUAUUUGCUUAAGAUUGACUAAUUGCAUUUUAUCUUCAUAUCUGCUAAUAUUUCACUCAAUCCUUGUUCAUUUAGUUGAUUAAUUUUUUUUAUUUCAUUAACAUUAGACGGUAACUUCUUUUUCUUCCCGUUUUUAUUUUAUUUAUUAGCUUAGGAUAGUGUAAUGGUUGGAUUUUGUGUAUUUUGUGACCUUGUUGAACUAAGUAAAUUGAGUAGGGACAAGUUAGGUGGAAAAUUUGAACAAAUUGCAAAAACUGAAACCCUAGCUUAGUGUCUGAAAUGUGAACCCUUCGCGGACCGUGGUCACUUUGGUGCGGUCUGCGGUGCUAUGAUACCGUCCACGAUACCAUUCUUUGCGACCCACAGUGUUCAAGUGUUUCAAACUUGAUUUGUGGCAAACGCGACUGCAUUGCACUUUGUGCGAUCCACGCUGGCCCACCGCUGCCGCAAUACCAUUUUGUGCGGACCGCCGUGGAGGGAUUCAGAGAGGGGGUUUUCAGGACCCUUCCCCAAUGAGGAUCGCAGUCGCCUUUACGUGGUCCGUGGUGCACCCAAUGCGGCCGCAUUCCUUUGUGGUGCAAGCCGUAGUGUGUUGUUCUGUAACAUUGCUCUACAACUUUUGCUCUAUUGUUCUGUAAUUCAUUUCCAUUAUAUGCUUCGCUGCAUGUACUUAAACAAACCAUGUUAGAUGUGUGAGCUUGCAUACUGUGGUCAAACAAAGAGGUAGAGGUGACAAAUAACCCGGCCGAGGUGGCUCCUCCUAAGGAGGUAAAGGAAAAUAAGGAAAACUCACUCCCCAACCUAGACAAAAUACAAGGAAAGCAACCAAGGUUGCUGAUACAGCCGGUGACCAAUCAGGGAGUGAGUACAUACCUUCUCAAGACCUCUCCUCUUACUCGGUGCCAGCUCACUCAGUUCCAGCUUCACCCACUGCCCAAGCUCCACAGCGUAUAUCUUCUGAGUCAAUUGACGGAUUAGCACCGGUGAGUCCUCCACCUCCCCCUCAUCUUCAAUAUCCGAGGAGAGUGCAGGCGGAGGCGCUGAGGGUGAUAAUGAUAGUGAUGAGGAUGUGCCUCAGAGUGGUGUGCCUCAGGUUCGGGGUAUUGACCAAACAAGAAACCCCACAGUCUGGGAGGACAGAUUUGUUAGUCAUGUGGCUUUUCAUAAAUUCAGGGUAUGGUGGCCAUUACGAAAGCUGAUUCUAGAAAGAAGUUUUAUUAACUGAGACUUGUUACCCCUAAUCAAAAUGUGCAUAUACAUUUUCAAGCUUGAAGUGGUUGGGACCAUUUUAGGGAUGAUUUUAUAAAGGCAAAUGAGAACAUGGUCAAGGAUUUCUAUUACAAUGUGGCUCACAUCGCAAAGGGCACAAAAGUGACCAAAGUACGGAACAAGACUGUGGUGUUUUCUGGGAAGGCACUAAAUGAGUACUUAGGGUUCAAUGAUGAGCAAAGGGCACAAAAGUGACCAAAGUACGAAACAAGAAUGUCGUGUUUUCUGGGAAGGCACUAAAUGAGUACUUAGGGUUCAAUGAUGAACAUGAGACCCUGUACAAUGAGAAGUUGUCAAUGAGAGAGGAGGUCCAUCCGUGGUUAUCUGCGUACCAGGCAAUCCCAGGUACAGUUCCAGAAUGGUUACAAGUAGGGACCAAAAUACUUCGGAGGACUCUAAAUUUUGAAGAUAGGGGUGGUUGACCUUUGUAUGCAGUCGACUUGGCCCCACUUCACAUAAUCAAACCAUUCCACUUGCUCGGGUUGUUCUUAUUGCUUCUAUUAUGGCGGGCUACCCUAUCAACAUGGGCAAUGUGAUGUCUCGUAUGAUUUCUACGGUGGGGGUUGAGCAUGACCGAAACUACCCUUUUCCCAACACACCAUGUACUUCCGGGACUUGAACAUGGAGAAUAAUCCCUUUGAUGUCAAGGUCAAACCAGUAGCUCCGUUCUCGUGGUACAUCUUAAAGGGGCCAGACAACCCCAAAGACAAGAAUUACAAUCCAUAUGCCUCUUCCUCAACUGGCCAAUUUGAGGAGCCGGUUGCGGUAGAGCCUUCCACUGAGCCUGCUGCUACUACCACUAACAUGCCUCUAGGACCUUCCACUUUGAGGAGCCGGUUGCGGUAGAGCCUUCCACUGAGCCUGCUGCUACUACCACUAACGUGCCUCCAGGACCUUCCACUACUGCUGGUCCCUCUACUUCAGCUGGCCCCGGGAUCCCAUCUUCCCAUACCUAUCAUAUCACUUCUCAUCAGCUGAGCAAAUAUUGCAUAACUUGAAUAACUGGAUGUCAGCUGCAUCAUCAAUGAUAUCUAUCAUGUCUUCCACUACUGAGGCUUAGUUAGCACUACAGACAGCUCAGCUCGCACAAUCCAUAGAGGAUACGUUGAAGAAGAUCCUGGAGAACCAGGAAAAGAUCAUGGGUACCCAGACUGCCUUGUCUAAGGUAGUGGAUGCACAUGGCAAGGCUCUGAAGAAGCUUUCCUGGGAGCACACGAAAAUGAUAAAAACACGGGCUUCCAAGGCCUUUGUGAAGAGUCUUAGAGAGGAUGUGGACAAGCUGAUGGCACACCAGAUGCCUUUAGACUUGCUAUUUGAGGAUCCAGCCCCAGCAAAAACACCAACAGUAGAGCCACAACUGGAGCAUACACAUAUGCUUCCUAGGAAGAAGAGGAAGCUCCCUAGUGCAGACAAGGCGAUCAUCCAGUUGGCGGACCCACCGGAGGAAUCCUCCAGUCAGUCAUAGGAUACUCCUUAUAUUCAGUCCGUCCAGGUCCAGGCCGCAGUCCCAGCAGCUAAGAAGCAGGAGAUCGGGAACUAGUCUGAGGUUCCCACACAUACAGAGGACCCGGGGACCACUCAUGUUCCCAUGAAGACGGACAAGUCUUAGGGAGUUCCCAUAUCCUUUCCUUAUAUUUUUUUGGUGCUUAUCUGUUUAGUUCGCAUUGGGGACAAUGCCAGCUCUUAUUUGAGGGGGUGCGCCCUCCAUUUUAUCCAUUGGAUGAUUGUAUAUAUAGAUUGAUGUAGUUUAUUCUUUCUUAUGAUUUUCUAUUUGGUAGUUUGAUGCUUAUCUGUUUAGUUCGCAUUGGGGACAAUGCCAGCUUAUAUUUGAGGAGGUGAUCCCUACAUUUUAUCCAUUGGAUGACUGUAUAUAUAUUUGGUCUGUAUAUAAAGUUACAUUAUUGUAUAUAUUCAUCCCCCGUUAUAUAUCAUGAUCCCCUAUAGUAUAUAUUCAUUCUAUUUUCUAUUUUCGUAAAAACAAAUUGCUUCGUAGAUAGGCUCGUAGUCUUUUGUUUCAUUUUUGGCGCUUUCAAUAAACCUUUGGUUUUCUUAAUUUCACAGUUCUUUCCAAAGGUGGAGUAUUGUGUUAACCGGGUGUCUCUUCCCGAUGAUGCAUGGCGACAACCUUCUUAAGGGUUUGAGUCCGUUUCUGUUUUUCUUUUGAUUUUAUUAGUUUAUAGUUAAGGGUACCGAAAGCAAAGCUUCACUUGGGCCUAGCACAUUUUCCUUUGAUCCCACGGUUAAAUACAAAAUACUGUGUUUAGGAUGGUGAAAGUUGUAACCUUGAGACUCUCGUGUUGACUGACAAUCAUCAAAAUAGUUUUUUAGACCAUUAUGUGCUUGAAUCAUAACUAAGGUAGUUGUGGGCCCUCGAGUCGAUGUCCUUAGCAAUCCCCUAGAGUGUGUGGUGAGAAAUCAAAUUGCGAGUCCAUGUCCCGAGCCAAUGGUCUAGAACUUGCCCUGAAUGUCUUUUAAGGCAAAAUCCUAAGCGGCCAUUGACUUGAGAAGUGAUUAUAUUCUCUCCUUAAUCCAGAUUAUUGUUUGAAUAAAUUCAUGGCCUACCAACGAUAAGAUCCCUAGUCUACCCUUUUGAGCCUUAGAUCCGCUUCUGUCAAGAACCAUAAUACAAGCCUAUAACUGUUUUCAAAGAUACCCUCUCUUGGCACCGUGACAUUAAGAAAAUCAAAGGCUUAUUGAAAGCGCUAAAAACGAAACAUUAGGCUACGAGCCUAUUUACGAAGCAAAAAAAUUGUUUUUGUUAGUUUAUAGUUAAGGGUACCUCAAGAAAAGCUUCACUUGGGCCUAGCACAUUUGCACCGCUUUUUUCAAGGGUACCUCAAGAAAAGACGUUAAGGGUACCUCAAGAAAAUCUUCACUUGGGCCUAGCACAUUUGCACCGCUUUUUUCAAGGGUACCUCAAGAAAAGAUCCCAAGUCAACCAUUUGAGCCUUAGACCUGCUUCUUUCAAGAACCAUAAUACAAGCCUAAGUUAGAUAGAUAUUUCAAAUCACUUGCUAGAUCCCUGAGGAAUUCGAUCUCGACCCUCAUAUCGGAUAAAAGCUAUUGCGACCCGCUAUUCUUACCUUGGUGUAGUGCCGAGUUGUCGUGAUCAUCUAUCCUCUUAGUGAGAUCCUCGAGCAUCUUCAUAAUUGCAGAAUCAGUCCUCGAUCUAUUGCCGUUCGACCUUUCUGGCACCGGCUCAGUACGACUGGUGCUUUCUUGUUAGACCACACUUAGUGAUUUAUGUUGACUUCGAAGCUAAGCGAUAGCAACCUGCUGAGCUUGUAGCAUUUCGAGUAUUUCCUAGAGACUAACUCCCCCAUCUCCUACGCCUUGUUUUCCUUGGACCCCAUAUCGGACUUCCCUACGUACACUUCCUCCGGGGUCCACGCCUAACUGUGUAUUCAAAGCAAUGUGUGAACGAACAUCGACUGGUUCUGCAAUCGGCACUUCCCCGGGGUUAAUUGGUAGCACGCCGGCUCCUGGAGAAACUACAUUAUCAUUUUUCCCGUGAAGUCCAAGACCAUCAUCGCCAUGUGCGGGUGCAUUUUGUGAGUUAAACAAGAUUCAACCUGUGAACAAAAACUCUUGACAAGAACAAGUGUGAAAAUAACGUGUGUUAUCAGAAUCAAUACUAAAACAGUCACAAUUAUCAUUAGCACCACGGUGGGCACCAAAUUAUUUACCCUAAAAUUUGAGUAACAAUUAAACUUGUACUGUGGUUUUAAUGAUAUGUGGUUUAAUCUAAUACUAAUUGAUAAGCAAAGACACUAAUGUAUUAAUUAAAGUGUAAGGAAGUCAAACCAACAUAUAAUCACACCUCGACCUCGACCUCGACCUCGAACAAUGCCAACCUCGAGAUAGGUGGAUAAGAACAAUGAGAUUCAAAUGAGCAGUAAGCAAGAAAGUAAUGUAGGUAUAUUCUCUUGUGAAUGAUUCCUCCAUUACAAAUUAUUAGGAUCCCCUUUAUAUAGUGGGGGAAUGCUAAAUAAGAUACAUUUCUAAUCAAAUUAUUAGGAUCCCCUAUAUAUAGUGGGGGAAUGCUAAAUAAGAUACAUUUCGAAUUACAAUAGAGAAUCUAUUUAUACACGUGUCUAAUCGCCCAGUACAAAUUCGUUCAGAAAUUUACGCCGUGAUCUUAAGGCAACCGCGGGAAUCGCGCUCUUUCUAUUAUAAAACCAUAACGAUAUUAUCUCUAGGUUGGUCAUAUUCGGUAUCGAUGUUCAUCGAGCACUUCACUCUUCGAGUCAUGUAUUCUGCCAUCAGGCUCGAUCCUGGUCCACAUUGAACUUGUUCUCGACCCGAGCCCUCGAAGCUACAAAAUCGGCAACACCUGAUUUUGUUCCUAUAAAGUUAUAACUAUUCUCGGCAAAACGUUCUCAAGAUACCAUCUACUUUAUUUUAACUAAGUUUCAAUAAAUGUUCGGGAGAUAUCCUUAUCGACCAAUAAAAGAAUAUAGUCGAUUAAAUAUGCAAUAUUAGACCAAACAACAACAGAACUAAGAAAAGUAUAAUGCAAAAAAUCUCAAUAUAAUGAGAACAAUGGAUGGAGAUCUCGAGGAUCUUACUUAAAUCAAAUAAUAAAUAAUACAAAUUAUUAAAACAAAAGAACAUUGAAUACAUAAUAAGUAAACCGGAUCAUUUCGGGAAGCAUGCAUCAAAUUUUGGCAGAGGAAAUGGAGUUGCUAAAAAUAAGAGGACAAAAGGAAUUAGAAGUCAUGGAAAUGGCAUAAAAUGACUGAAUAAUUAAUAUCAAUAGUAGGUUGAUGAAUGAGAUGCUGAUGGGGGUGGAGGUGAAGCAUAAAUGACGGAUUUCUCGUACUUCUCAAGUGGUAUAGGUGAGGCAUAGGUAGAAGUUUGCUUGUAAUAGUUUGCGGUUGGCGAGGGUGAAUAAUAAGAUGGUGAUUUUUCAUAGGCAAAUUGUAAGUUAUCGGCAAAUACACUUAGUAUUUUGGUGGAGGUGGAGGAGAUUUAUAGUAAGGUGUAGAUUCUUUUGUAGUAUGGUGGAGGUGGAGAUUUGUAAGAAGAUGGCGAUUGCUCAUAAUAUUUUGGUGGGGGUGGAGGUGAUUUGUAAUAAGGUGACUGCUCAUAGUAUUUUAGAGGAGGUGGAGGUGACUUGUAAUGCGAAGGUGAUUUUUCAUAAUAAGUUAGUGAUGGUGAAGACUUGUAGUAAACUGGGGACUUGUUAUAUUUUGGUGGAUGUGAUGACUUGUAAUAUUUAGAGGGAGUAGGCGAUUUGCAAUAUUUUACUAGGGAUGGUAACUUGUAAUACUUUGUAGGUAAUGGUGACUUGUAGUAGUUUUUUGAUGGAGCUGGUGACUUGUAGUAUUUUGCGGGAACUGAUGACUUAUAGUACUUCUUUGAAGGAGCUGGUGACUUGUAGUAUUUAGCGGAAGCUGGGGACUUGUAGUAUUUUGCGGGAACCGGCGACUUAUAGUAUUUUAGGGGAGCCAGCGCCCUGUAGUAUUUUGCUGGAGCUGGCGACUUGUAGUAUUUUGCAGGAGCUGGCGACCUGUAGUAUUUUUCAGUAGUUGGCGACUUGUAGUAUUUAGCGGGAGCUGGCAACUUGUAGUAGUCCUUUGAAGGAGCUGGUGAUUUGUAGUACUUAGCGGGAGCUGGCGAUAUGUAGUAUUUUGGGGGGACUGGCGACUUGUAGUAUUUAGUAGGAGCUGGCAACUUGUAGUAUUUUGCAGGAGCUGGCGCCUUGUAGUAUUUUAUUGCAACUAGACUUGUAGUAUUUUGAAGGAGCUGGCGACUUGUAGUAUUUUGCAGAAGCUGGCGCCUUGUAGUAUUUUACUGCAACGGGUGACUUUUAGUAUUUUACUGAAACUGGCGCUUGUAAUAUAUUACGGGAACUAGUGACUUGUAGUAGUGUAUUGCUGAAGCAGGUGACUUGUAGUAGGGAGUAGGUACAUGAUACUUGGGUGAAGAUGGUGAUUUGUAAAACGUAAGAAAUGUAAGAAGAUGAGGUAGAAAUAUACCCAUAAGAGUAAUCAGCAAAUACAAUGUUGGCUACAAAGCAAAUUGCCAAAGCAGCAGCAAGAAGAGGCCAUUGCCCUAAAUUCCCAAAGCUUCUCAUUUUGGAACUAUAUUGGGACAAGAGAAGGAUAGAACUAAGACUUGUGUUGCAUAGUUGAGUAAGGAACUCUAGUUUUAUACUGCAGGGAGAUUAAGACUUGUGUGGCAUAGCUGAAACACGAAAAAUUCCAGCAUAAUAUAAAUUGGUGCAUAUGUGUAUAAACUUCCAGCAUAUUCUGCUGGAACUCCACCACACGGAAAGUUCCGGCAUAAUAUACUAGAAAUUGGAGCACAUGUUUAUGAACUCUCAGCAUAUUAUGCUGGACCAGUAUAUUAUUCUAGAACAUUUUCUGGAUUCUGCUUAGUAUUUUCGUUCAAAUUUAUCUUUACAUGAAAAGUGACUAAAUUUGGAUUAUUUUUAAAACUGUGACUACUUUUCAAUUGGAAAAUUUCCGUUCCUAUACCAUAUAGGAAACUAUAUUACCAAAUAUGUUCAAAGUUUGCGACCCUUCAUGAUAAUAGUAUUCCGACAAAAUAUAGAUAAUGCAUUAAAUAAGUAAUCAUCGUAGCUGUAGGAUUCCUUAUUUGGGCGCGCUAAAAUUGGGGAAUUAAAUAUUCUUCAAGAUCUUCCACAAAGAAGAUCAAGAACAUUCCAUAAUUACGGCUUCACUCUGAUCUUCCACAACACAGAACAAGAUUUUCCAUACUCUGUUUUUGUGAUUCACUCUGUUUUAAGAAUUAUCUCUACAUCUCUCUCUAUCUCUUAAUCUCAAAAUUCAGUAAUACAAAGCAGAUGAAAAGAGAGCAGCAAUUCCACCAUUGACAGCCAUUAAAAAACUUGAAAGUUUUUAAUUCAAAUUUGAGUUUUCAAAAAUUAUUAUUUGUUUGGAUUUGUGCUGUUGAAAAUAAUCGAGCAUAUGAUUUGGAGUUUAUAUCUCAAAUUUGAGGGAUUUUGGUGAAGAUUAGACUUGAUUUUGACUGAAUUUCAGAUUGAAACUCGAAGAAUUUUGAGGGAUUUUGGUGAAGAUUAGACUUGGUUUUGACUGAAUUUCAGAUAGAAACUCGAAGAAGAAGAAGAAGAAGAAGAAGAAGAAGAAGAAGAAGAAUACAUGACAUGCAUUAUAUUGCAGAGAUUGAGACUAGAGUUGAAGUUUUUUUGUUGUAACUGGAAAACUUCAGCUCUAGAGCUGAAAUUUUUGGAGAAGAAGGGAAGGAGAAAGGAAAGCUGAAGUUUUUCAAAAAGUGGGUACGGGUACAAACAAAAAAAUAAAGCAAUUACAAGUUAAAAAUGGGCGCCCCGUCCAAUUUUUGCUGAAUUUUGAGGGAACGUAACCUUUCAUCAGGAAAAAAUAGUUAUGUCUAAACUUUUGCAAGGUCUUCAUAAUUACAGCCUAUUUUUUUCUUCAAGUUCUGUUCUUUUAAUUACUCUAUUCCCGGUUGAUAAUAAUAGUGCCCUUUGCAUUUCAUGGGGGUGUGAAAACUACAAGUGUUAGAAAAUAACAAUUUACAAACAACUAUAUCAAAAGUUUUCUCUUUUAUUGACGAAUCAUACUAUUGUAAGUUGUUUGUUAAUUUAUUAACCAAUUGAAAGCACAUCGUGCUGGAGUUGUAUUAUGUAAUUGUAAUUAUUUCUGUAAGGCUAAGUGACCAUUUCUGAACUAUCUAACAUUUCUGAACUCAUUAUUCCACCAAAUACAUUAUACAUUCUUUUGGAGUAUGAAGGCCAGCAGAUAAUAUAAGACCAAUUCUAGAAAACAUAUACAUAAAAUAUCGAGUUUGACAAAGAGACCAUAGAUUUAUGUGCCCCAUAAUCUGAACUAUAAAUCUGUCCCUUAGAUAUACAGCGAAAUAGUCAAGAUAUGUGCAAACAGACACGUACCAAUUUGUCAUUAAAAAGGAGAAAUUUUUGAAUUAGUAGCAUGAAGAAAGUGUUGCUCGACUCAUUUACAUCUCCAUACGUACAUCACACUUUGUUUCAAAGAUAAUUCUUGUUUUUUUUUUAUGCUUGCAUUGUUAGGACAUUGUAGUUGAUUAUAUAUCAUGGUAUUAUACAAAGUUAUUGAAACUAAAAAAUUGUCAAAAUUAAAAAGAAUCAAGGGCUUACACGCCAUGUCUCAAAAUUUAUAUCUCGGCUUGUGUCCCCGUCAUUUAAUACACUAUGUCAAAUAUUCAAAUUUUAGAAGUGUGCCAUUUUAGCCUUUCAAUUGUUUUCUUACAUCUUUAGAAACUGUUAAAACAAAUUAAGAAAAGUAGAAUGCACAAAAUCUCGAUAUAAUGAGAAGAAUUGAUGGAGAUCUUGAGGAUCUUUCAUAAAUCCCAAAUAAAUAUAUAAUACAAAUUAUUAAAAUAGAACACUGAAGACAAAUAAGCAAAAGCCGAUAAGUUCGAGAAGCAUACAUCAAAUUCUGGCGGAGGAAAUGGAGCUGCUAAUGAUAAGAGGACAAAAUGGAAUUAGAAGUCAUGGAAAUAGCGGAAAAUGAUUGAAUAGUUAAUAUCAGUAAUACGUUGGUGGAGGAGAUGCUGAUGGGGGUGGAGGUGAAGCAUAGGUAGCAGAUUGCUCGUACCUUUCAGGUGGUGGAGGUGAGGCAUAGGUGGGAGUUUGCUUGUAAUAGUUCGCUGGUGGUGGAGGUGAGUAAUAAGAUGGUGAUUUUUCAUAGGUCUUUGGCAGAGAUGGCAAGUC
rnacentral:lncRNA from 1 species